CUUUAAAAAAAAACAAAACAAAACAGAGGGAGAGGGGUUUUCUCUGCUAGGGUUUUCCCCUAACCCAAGCACCCUCAUGCCGCCGCCGUCGUGUCCGCCGUGGUGCCUCCGCGAACGGCUCUCGGAUCCAGGUAAGUUAGCUCCUUUCUUUUCUUAUUUCUUUAAAGAAAAUGAAACGAACAUGUAAACAAUCAGAAAAAAAUGAAGAUAGAGAAAAAAACAAAUAACCUUUCAAAAUCUAUUUGAUUCUCUGCUUUUGUAUUUUCAAUUGUCUUUUUUUGAUACAAUUUUUGUAACCCCUUUUACCAUCCCCCCCCCCCAUUUAAAAUCCCUUUACAAUCAGUUUAUAUAACCGAAAUAAAGAAAAAUAAAAUACAAAGGAAAAUCAUUAUUUCUGUUAUUGUUGCCUCUACUCUGGUGUUGGUUCCGUUUUUCUCGCAGGUACGGGAGUCGUGGAAGAGGCGCACGUGCUCGGAGGGUCGUGCUGUGACAUUCGCGGCGGCGUGUAAGGGUGAAAUUGCUGCGGCGGCUACUAGGGUUUUUGAUUUUUGAUUUGGCUGAAAAUUUGUUAAGCUUUGGGCUUGCUGGGCUGUUGGUAUUUUGGGCUUGUGUUUUUUUGUUUGGGAAAUGUAUUUUGGGUCAAUUCAUUGGGCCUGCUGUUGUAAUAAUGGUUGGGCAUUUAUUUUUUAUUUGCAUUUGGAUUUAUUAUUGGUAGGGCCGGGCAAAAAUUGGGCCCUACAACCAAAAUAAGAAUAUGGGUGAUUAAAUAGGUAGACCAAGCAUGGGUGCAGAAUUGGCUAGGCUAGAUAUCUGCCACUGCUAUAAUCAACCCAACGAUGUUUACUGCCAUCACAUUGCUAAGGCCAGACACUAUGUGCCGCCCAAAUCUAAAUUUUUUAUAUGGAUUUGAAUUUAAUAAAUUCAAUUAUAUAAAGAAUUAAGAUUUAAAAUUUAUUUUCAAAAGACGAUUUUUUUUUAAGAAAGAUUGUGUAAAAUUAUGAUUUCACGUUAUUCUUGUCUCUUUUUAAUAGGAGAAUGACAAAUUUGUUAUAAAAUAACGAGAGAUUGAGAGAAUAAAGAAUAAAGAAAAUAUGAAAGCAAUAGAAAAUGUAUUUUUUUGAUAAAAAAAUGAUUACAAUGUUUCAUCGGAGUCUCUAUUUAUAGACAUAAGAAGUAUAAAAGAAUAGAGAUCUAAUUCUAAUAACUAUUAGAAUUUAAAAUACAUUAAAACAUUAUCUUGAUCAUGAUGGACAUCCACUUAAUAAGAUAUUUAUAACAUUCAUCCUUGGAUGUCCAUUGGUAGAUAUGUGUCUCGUUAAAACCUUAUUAGGAAAAACCCCGUGGGAUAAAAACCUAAUGAAGGAAAAAGAGUACACAAUCUAUAAUACGCAUAAUAUGCUGCCUCAUUAAAAACCUUACCAGGAAAACCCAAUAGGACAACCUCGAUUAAGGGAAAAAGAGUGCAACACAUAUUUACUCCCUCUCAUGAAAACAUCACAUAUUUUCUCAUAUUCUACGUAUUCAAUCUUAAAUACUAGUUUUUCAAAUGACUAUUUGAAUGUAUUUGCCAAGCAUUUAUAUUACCAUUCUUUUAAAAGUCAUGAGUGAGGAAAAUUUGGGAAAAUAUAUUUUGAUUUCUUCAGAAGAUUCAACAAUAAUUAUAAAAAACUUUAAUCAUGAUUCUUUUAUAAAAACACAACUAGGUAUUUUGGAUCAUUUUAUAAUCCUCCUUCAACUAUUAUUCAUUAAGCCAAAUUUAUCUCAUAUGUUCAAAUUAUUUCAAUUCAUAUAAAUGUCCAAUUUCUCGAGAAUUUCAAUAUGCUUCUAGCAUUCUAAGUCCUUCAAGGAUUUUAAUAUAAACUUUACUAUAUAGUGAUUUAUAAAAGGUUGUAACAAUAACCAUUAGACGCAAGUUAAAUUUUUUAUGAAUUGUCAAUUUAAUAAUAUAGCUAAAUGUUAUCGCACCUACCACAAAAGUAUAUUAUAUCUUUUCAUAAUUAAUGUCAAGACUUAGUGAAAAACUUCAUAUUUUUAUUCCGCUUAUGCAAAACUACUUCAAUUGCACCCUCAUUGGCUUUAUACCUUUAGAUAUUUAGACUACUGGUCUAAAAACUCCACGAAUUUAAUUGUACUUGAGUUGUGUCUUUCUAUUUUGAUCAAUUUAUUCCAUAUCUAUAUUUCUCAAUAGAUUUAUUCAAGAUCUUUCUUUUAUUUCAUUAUUUCAAUAAUAAUAUUACAUGUAAAAUCAUUAUCGACCACUUUUAUUAUUCGAUUUCACAUUUUCUCGAAUUGACAUAACUUAGAGAGAUAUUUUAUUAUCUGGUUUUAUCAUUAUUCGCCGACUGGUGGCCUAUGAGGAUCGGCCCUCUAUGUUUUGCUUGUACAUCAUAGGAGUACAGUCUUCCUAUGAUCAUUAUGAGUUUCAUUGAUUCCCCGUAAAGACUUUGUUAACGUCCAACUGCAAAUAGGGUAACAGUACAUUACAAAUUUACAAUGGAAGCUGAGAUAACAUCACCACCACCACCACUAAUAAUAAUAAUAAUAAUAAUGUCAAGGAAACAUAUAAAAAAUUUGACAAGUAAGUACCUGGUGAUGUAAAUGAAGCCUCCAAUUAUAGCAAAACUUAUUCGCAGCUGAGUGUUGUAUGCAAUCACACUUAUGGAGGUUACCUAGUAAAAGACUGUCAUUGUUGAAACUAUUGUUCAAAGCUUUAUUAAUGUUUCUUCCUUGGAAGUAUAGGUGCUCAUGGCCGGGCGGCCCGGCUCAAUGGCCCGCCCAAAAUAUGGGAGGAUUCGGGUAAAAAUAUAGGCUCGAAAUAUGGGUUUGGACAAAAAAUGAGGCCCGUUUAGAAAAUAGGCCGGGCCUCAAGCACCACUUUUUUGGCUCAGGCCCGGCCCACAUAUAUAAUAAAUAUAUAUAUUUUUAAUUUUUUUAAUUUUAAAAUAUUUUAAAAUAUUUUUUUUAUUUUUAAAAUAAAUUUUUAAUUUUUAUUAAAAAUGGGCCGGGCCGGGUUAGGCUCGGGUUUAAAAUUUUUUUCCCGAGCCGGGCUUGGAUAAAAUUUCAGGUCUAUAUUUCGGGCCUGGCCAAACCCGGGCCUAGAACAUAGGCUAAAAUUUUUUUAAAGCCCGGCCCGGCCCGACCCAUAAUCACCUCUGCUUGGAAGUAGUUCUUUCAAGUAUUCGGAGGGUUGAUAUUGUCAAAUCUAUAUUUGGAUAUGUGUUGAAUAUAGACAUUAAAGGCAGGAACUUCAAUCAAAUAUGAAGAGUCCUAUCAACAUAGAUAUUCAACGGAGUCUGUUUGUAUGACUAAGUUUCGUGUGCAAGCGACAUUGAAUCAGGGGUUCCCUGGGGCGAAGCUAAAAGUUAUGUGAUUGGGGCGAGAUAAAACUAAAAAAGAGGAUAAAGUUAAAAAUAUUUGUAUUAAAAUUAUUUAAAUUAAAUUUUAAAUUUUUUAAAAAGGGCCAAAUUUCCCAUUGUUACAUUUAAAAUAAAAGAUAAAAGGAACUAAAUUGACAUUUUAGAUUCUGUUCGAGGAUGUUGAAGCCGUCAAAUCUGGUUGAUUCCAUUGCACUAAAUUGAUUUUGGAAAAUGACCUGAAAAUCCAAAUCCAACCGUUAUGUUUUUAGUUGAUAAAAUAUGAUAAGUUUAAUUGUCGGGAUAAAUCCGAGUAAGCAACGAAGAAUAAUUAAAUUAAUUAAUAAAUUGAAGAGAUCCAAUAUAAAUAUUUUACGUGAAUAAAAAAUCAUAGGCAAAGAUAAAAUUACUAAAUCGGCAAGAACGAAGAGUACAUAGAUAGAGAUAAAAACUAAACUCUGAAACCCGAAAAAAAGAACACUUGAAACUUAAACACAAAAUUCUCUGAAAGCUUGUAAAAGCUAAUAGUAUUAAAAUAAUCUACACUAAUCAGCGUUUAAGUGGAAAACUAAAACAAUAUUUAACUGAAAGAAGUAAAGCUGAGAAAAUUGAGAAACAUGUCGCCACGUUGCGACAUGGCUUUCUUUUCAUCGUGAUGAAGUAUGGUCACGUCAUCGGAGCGAAGAACUCCUCUUCGUUGCGACGUCACACACUAUUUAUGUUGAAAUACGAGGCAUACUCCACAUUAAUCAACCAUUUUAUAAAAUAUAUAAAUAAUCAUACAAUUGGUGUAUAGAUUAAUGAAUCAAAUAUGAAGAAGAUGGAUGAGUUGCCAUUUUCCUAUAUAUUUACAUUUCCAUAAACUCUUUAAACUUAAGUAAAAAAUUUGCUGAGAAAAAAAUAGGGUAAAUUAUAUCAUUAGUUAUAAGAAAGUUUUUGUUUUGGUUAUUUAAUUAAAAAAAGGUUAUAAUUUGAUCACUAAACUAUUUGAAAGUUUUCAUUUAAGUCACUAAACUAUUAAAAAUAUUUUAUUUAAGUCACUAGACUAUUAAGUUUUUUUUUUUUAAAGUUCUGCCAUAAAGCUCCAAGCGAUGAUUCGACGAUUGAGAGGGUGGAUCUGUACCCAUCGACGAGUAGAAGAACAUAACUUAGAUCAAAAUCUAUCUAGCGAUCAGUGUAGGAGAUCAAAGAAAAAACUGUUUGAAUUUUGGUUUGCAGAUUUAUGAAGUUCAAAGUUGUUUUAUGAAAAAACACUCAACGAUAGAAAAGAAAGGGAAAAAGAGCUUUCGAUUGGUACCGAUAGUGCGAAUAGAGAAAGCCAUAUAGAAUCGAUUUUAAUAGCCCAAUGACUUAAAUGAAAAUUUGUGAAUAGUUCAGUGAUCAACAAAGUAACAACAAACAAUGACUACAUUUAGAUGUUAGGUAUUCUCUAAAAAGAUAAAUGAUUAAUCAUAAAAUAUGCUCUAUUCGCAGGAAUGGAUAGGUAAAGAAGGAGGUGAAUAACCACUACAUAAUUGGUUUCUAAAGUUAUAGGUACAUAGAUUUCCAAAGGUUACUUUAGGAAAUGAUAUGAUGAAUAUUUGAAAUAAAUUAUGGAAUUGUUAGAUUGCCACAUACUUGAUCCAAAAUUUGUAUAUCAUGUCAAAGCCGAAUCCAAAUGGGCUCAAACCCUAAAACCGAACCUAAAUAGGCCUAAGCCCAAUAACAUCUAUUUACGUUUUCUUGCAGAGCAGCUUCCUCCUUCCCUUAUAUAACCCCACCGUUUCACUCCAUGUUUCUUUUUUGCAGGCUAAGCAAUUUUGAGACUCUUCUAUUUAGCAAUGGCUUCUUCUCUAGCUCUUAAGAGGCUCGUCUCAUCCAACAUCCUCCCUAGCUCCUUACGCGUCGCCAUCGCUCCAUCCAUCUCCAGACUCUUUAACACCAACGCCGCCACGCCUGAUGACCACGAUGAUCGCCGUCGUGCUGACGGUUUCUUCCCAGGUACUUGUCCACUCAUCUGUUUUUCAUUUCGACUUCUUUCGCUUCUUUUUAAUUUUUGAUUAUCUAAAAUUGAUGCUGAUUUUGGCCCUUCCGGUUUCUAUGCUGCAGAUCUGCAGGGGCGGCGCCAGGGGGCCAAAAAAGGUAAAUUUUCACUUUAGUUCUUACAGAAAUUAUAAAAUUAUGAUUCAGUCAUUUUGCCCCCUCAAGAAAAAAAUUCCUGCAGAUAUGUUUGAUCCUUUGUCUCCAACAAGGAGCCUGAACAUGAUGGAUCAAGUCAAGGGGAAUCGAUUUCUCUCCACAUCCCGUGACAUUCCAGGGCUUGGGAGCGAGGCCAAAGAAUCAAACCUUCGCCCGUUAUCUCCUCAUCUUCCUAUUUAUAAGCCACAACUUUCUGCGACUCUUUCAAUUACCAAUAGGAUCUCCGGGGUUUUCCUAACUACUGCACUUUUGUUCUCUUAUCUUCUUUCUCUGAAAAUGGGUUCAAUUUGCUUCACCUAUUCGAAUUUCUACCAAUUCUUCUUUUAUUCAGCAAAGCUUGCCCCAGUUACCGUCUCAAUUGCUGCAUUGGCCGUUUCCUAUCAUCUGUGUUAUGGGGUUCGUCAUUUAUUGGCGGACUUUUCGGGAAAGCUGAGGUGAAGAACGGUGAGGAGGAAAGGAUGUGAUUCAGCUUCAAAUCGACUGAUUUGCUGGCUUGGUAAGUUCUUGUUUGGUCUGGGCCAUUCUGGGUUGAGGUAAGACUUUGUUUGGCAAAAUAAAGAAUGUGUUAAUGGUUUUUUUUUUUUUUUGGAAUAAAUUGAACCUUGGUGAUGAGUAAAAAGAAAACCUUGUUAAUGCCAAAAAGCAUCUUUGAACUUGUCAAUAUAGUGAUCUGUGUUGAAUUAGUGGUUUAAUUCGAUGGAUUCUGCUAAAUCUUUGAUUGGGAGAGCUGUAACCAUUAACCGUUCCCCUUUCAAUCGUAUGAGCUUUCAUUAGGAGUUUAAACUGUGCUUAUCUGAUUCUGCAUCCUCCAUAGUUAACAAACACCAAGCUUUGAAUGUGUGAACUCUUUCAGAAAGUGAUUGUGAACUGUGAUAGGAUUGACUUAAAUGUAAGAUUGAUUAGUAAAUCGAGAAGGUUACAUUAUAAUUUAUUAAAUUGUUAUUGUUAGAGAUUUUGUUUUUCCUUUUAAGAAGUUUAGUUCUUUGGAUUUUUUUAGUCCCGAGUUUUCUAUAAAAUUAUGAUUAUUACAUUUUGAUUUUUACGAUAAACUUAAUUAUGAUAGCUUAUUUAUAUGAUUUACGAAUUAUUUUCAAAUAAAGAGUUAAUUUUUGUGUUUACAUUGGAACUUGCAAUGUGUUAUCUGUUAAGUAGUAGUAAAUAUUGUUUCUUAUUUGCUCAAAUUUUGUGUUAUAUCAAUAUAUAAAGAGGAAAUGGUUUGGAAUUUCAGAUUUUGUGAGAUUAUUCGAAGAAAAAGUAUUGUAGAGAUUUUCAUCUAUAUUUGAUAUUACUGGUUUAAAAUGUGAGGAUCAAUUUUAGGAAAUGUUGCUCUUUUUUAACCAAACACACUAGAUAUGAAUUUCUACAUAUUAGGCUAAUGUAGGAUGAGGAUGGUUAGUUUUUAUAUCAUAAAAUCGAAGUAAAUUUGUCUAUUCCAACGUUGGACGGGAUCAAUAAUUGUAGGCUCAAGUUUUGAUGCAAAAUUGGAAGCUUAAUGGUCGAUCGAUGGAUAUAUUUUUCAUGAUUUCCCCUAUCAAAUCAACCCACAAGCUGGUAAAUUGGCAACAACCAAUCAGGGACCAAACUUGUAUAGCUUUUUAGGUUUUUAUACUUGGAUUAUAUGUGAUCUGCCACUCAUCUGUCUUAACAAGUACAAGCACAAAUAUUUGUUCGAGGAUUCAUAAGGAUCAAACUAUUGUAGCAUAGAUUGUUUGAGGAUUAUAGAUUAAAGCCAACAAAUUAAAUCAAUUGGACUAAAACCCAAAAAUAUUGGAACUUAGAGACCCAUGUAUAUAAUUACUCAUGGUAAGUUUUGAAUUUGGGUACUCAACAGCUUAACAAUUGAGUCAAGGCUUCAUUGACUUCAUAUAUAAAUAAAUAAAUAAAGUAGAACAUGUCUAUAAAAAUUUAAAUAUAAUUAAAAAAUCUGAUUAUAAAUAAAUAAAGUAGAGUAUGUUUAUAAUUAAAAAUUCUAUUAGACAUAUAUAUAUGUAUGGAAACUAUGAAUUUAUAACACAGAUGUUUAGAACUAAUUAAUAAUAGUAUACAUAUAUAAUUGAUAGAGGUAAUUUAUUGUUCAUAUUAAAAUGAAAAUGUAUAAAAAUUAUAAAAAUUAAAUUUUAGUUGAGUAAUAAAUUUAAGGUUGUAAUAAUAUAGAUAUGAUAAUUUAAUUCUUAAUAAAUAUAUAGAGUUAAGGUAUUAAAUUAUUAAGGAAAAAAUAUUAAAUUAUUGUGACAAAACUAUUAUUGUUAAGCAAUAAAUUGAAAAUAUAAAAAUUUCAAGUUAUGAAAAAUAAAAUAAACAUGACAUAAAUAUGUACAUGUCAAAUUUUAUAUAUAGAACCAACCAUUAACAUGGAAAAGUUAUAUACACUUUUACUAGUUUACACAUGGAAAAAAAUAAAACAUGAAACGACAUGAAUAAAUAAUUUUUUUCUUUAAAUUUAUCAAUAGAUUUUACAUGAACAAAAUAUUAUUUUCUAAAUUCAAUCAUGAAAAAAAGAAACUAUAUAAAAUACGAUAUGACAUAAAAAAAAAAUGAACAUUACUCUCACACACAUGUAGGUCAAAUUUUACACAAAAAUAAAUUAUAAAUUUACAAAAAAAAUACACAUAAAUUUAUAAUACUUUAUAUAUAAAAUUAUGAAUAUGUAAAACUAAUAUGAUAUACAUCGAAAAAAUGGUUUGCCAGGUGAAAUUUCUUUUUGAAAAUCUUAACUUAAAAAAAAAAAGUAAACAUCUUUCUUUAUUCUAAAAAAAAGUGAAUCUUUUUAAAAUUAAAAAAAACAUUUAUUUUAACCUAUAAAAUUGUGUAAAAUAAAGGAAAAGAUUAGUAUAGCAUUUUUACCCUUCAAAUUAUAUUUUAUACUCAUGCUUAGAUGCCAUUAAAACAAACCAUUUUUUAUAGUAAAUCAAAGUACAAACAGGAACAAACCAAGGUGAAAGCACAAAUAAAUAUUUAUAUAGUCCUUAGCCUCUCCUUAGCCUUUCUUCCAACUCAUUUGAGAGUAGCGUCACAAACCUCUUACUUUAAGUCAACCUUAAUCAACUUAUUCAGGAAGUGAAUGUCGUCAAGGACUGGUUUCUGUUCCCAGUGCACUGAUAUAGUUUCCUUUCUGAUAAUGUUCUCGAUUAACCUAUCCUUAAUUCCUAUACUACACACACAGAUGUUAGAUUGGCAUACCACAACUAGUACCAAUCUUAAAAGCAUCGAUUUUCCCGUAGUGCUAUUUUCAUGGCUGAAGUUGCCUUCAAAAAUUGAUUCAGUCCUCCAACCUGAGUUUUUGAUAUGCAAAACCCAUGCAAUGUUAUCGUUUCUACUAUACCAACCAAUUGAAAUGUGAUACAGUAUGUUGAUUUGCUGGAGUUCUACACUUACCUCUAUGCUCUCAAUCUGUGCAGAUUUACUUUCAUUUAUUCUGAAUGCUUAUCUGAUUUGUUGGAUGUACUCCUCUGCCUUGUUAAUAAUUGCAAUCGGGUUUGGUUUGAUGUCCUCAUACAUGAUUUUAUUCCUGUGAGUCCAUAUCUUUCAAAGAAAAAUUAUCACAUCGACAAAAUUUUCCUUCAUGACAUCUUUCCCAACCUAGCUAGUUCUAUGGUUUGGAUUAACCACUCCUUGAUCGAUUGCAAAUUAAAGUCCAAGGUGUGAAGACAAUAUUUUGAUCCAAACCAAACUGCUCUAGGAAAAGAGCAUUCCCCAAAUAGGUGCUUUUCGUCCUUCCAUUCACCUUGACAUAGGACACACAAAGCGUCCGAUGUGUUAAUUCUUCUAUUAAUGGUCACCUUACAAGGAAGGGCCUCAUUAAGAAUUUUCCACAAGAAACGAAUCACCUUAUAUGGGAGUUCACUGGACCAAAUAAAAUUCCAUACCUUUCGCAGAACGUCCUGGUUAUGUGUGUAUGAUACUCCAACUUGCUCAUUUAGGGCUUGAACGUAGGCCGAUUUCACAGAGAACACACCAUUAUUUGUAUGAAUCCAUCUCGCUUUAAAAGGUCCCUCAAGCAAAGGGUUUGGAUUAGUAAGAUUCUGCCAGCUCACAUUCAUAAGAGACUCAUUGUUACCUGUCUGGUUGUAUGCUUCCACGAGAUGUUCUCUUUUAAUAACUUCUUCCCAACUCGAAUGCUUUUUCAUGCCCAAGAAUCCCUGGAUUUUCCUUCUAUUUGAAUGAAGUUUUCCCUUGUACAAUAUUCUUUGACCACAGUUUCUUGACUGAGCCAACUAUUCCCAUUAUUAACCCUCCAAGCAAGUUUGGCCAAUAGUGUUUUGUUCAUUGCUUACAUGUUCUAUUCUAGUCGAUAAAAUGCAACUUUCUCCAGUUAGGUUCAUCACCCCACCAAAAAUUCCUCAGAUCCAUUCUAUCACAAGUAUUUUGUGGAGCUCUAAAAUAUGAUAAUUGAUAGAUAGGUACACUCAAUAGCACUAAUUUGAUCAAGGUUAACUUACCUCCCUGGCCUAAUAAUAGGAUGUAACCUCGUGAUAAUACUUGAGGAACGAGUGAAUGUUUACAUAAUCUCCCACCAAACCUUUUACAUCCAUCAAAGCCAUACAAUUAAAAGGGAAAAAAUUUCACCUCCUUUAACUAAUAACAAUAUACCUUUUGAAUAAGUGAUUGACUGUAACCUUCAUGUCCCAACGAUUAGUGAAGAUAUGAGAUACUAUAGUAACAUUUUCAAGCUUCAACCAAAAUUUUUUCUUUUAUAAAAAUAUUUAUUCCGUAACAAAUUAGUGUUAUUUAAAACAAAUUGGAAAUGUUUAGAAGGAUUAAAAAACAAUUAGAAAUCAUUCUGGGGCAACGAAUACAUAUAAGGAUGUAUCCACAUCAUAAAACAAGUGUUCAAAGUUCUUUUAUUUAAAUAGAGGUCAUUCGGGUUUAAAAAGGUAGGGAUUUUACAAUAACUUGAAACUUAAAAACAGUUUAAUAAAAUUAUAUAAAUAAAAUCAUUUUUGAAGACUUUAUAAACAUUUUAAAGUCAUUUAGAAACUUUUUGUAGGGCUAAAUGCCACGCGAAGUUGCGACAUGGAACACUUGAUGUCCCAACGUCACUUAUUGGUUGGGCAAGGUCAUGACAUGGUAAAGGUGAGGUUGCGACAUUGUAGAGGGAAUGUUGCGAUGCCACCCUCUUGCUAGUAGGGGGUUCAAAUUUUGAUUAAAACUGAAUUAACUAACCGAACCGAACAAAUUCGGUAAAUCGGUUGAUUAACUGAUCUAAUUCAGUCGAAAGUCGGUUAAUGGUUUUUUGAAAGUACAGUUAACGAUUAAUUUGGUUCAAACUAGGGUAAUUAACCGAAUUAACUAAACUUUCAAAAAAUCAAUAUUAUAUAUUACCAAUUUGGUUAAUUUGAUUAAUUUUAAUUUGGUUAAUUCGGUUAAAUGAACAUCACCAAUUUAUUUUUUGACAUGUUUUCUACAUGUUUUAACAAAAAAAAACAUAAAAAUUUCGGUUAAUUCGAUUAAUCGAUCGAAUUAAACAAAAUAGUUUUGUUCGGUUAAUUUAUUUUGAAAAAAAUUUGGUUCGAUUAACAGUUAAGGGUUUAAAAAGUUCGAUUAAUUUGGUUAAUGCUAAUUCGAUUCGGUUAACUGAUUGAAUACGUUUACUUGUUAGGCAAAAAAAAUUCCAAAUUAUUCCUAAAACAUGGUAUACAUAAAACAUGCUUAAAAAUUAUCAAAAGAAGUGUAAGAACCAUCCGCAAAACAUUGUCAACCAUAUGUUACAACAUGAAAUUAUUGAAAUUAUGUAAAAAACAUGCUACGACCUCAUGAAUUCGUUCAAUCUGUGGCAAGUUCGGAUGAUGGCAAUUCUAGUUCAGACCGGCCUGAAAAAGGUCAUUAUUAGAAAAAAAAACUUGAAAAUCUAGAUCAGACAGAAUGGGAAGAACUUGAUGAAAAGGCCCUAUUUACAAUCAGUUGUGCCUCGCGAAUAGGGUAUUGUAAGAGGUAUUGAUGGAGAAAACCUCAUCCACCUUAUGGAAAAGGUUAGAAACUUUUUAUGCAACUAAGUCUUUGGCUAACCGUUUAGUGUUAAAACAAUGUCUAUUUACGUUUUUCUUGAACGAAAGUGAGCUUCUUAGAGAUCGCAUUAGUCAAUUUAUUACUCUUUUUAAUGAUUUAAAGAAUAUUGAGGUUAAGAUUAAUGAUGAUGAUCAGACUAUGCUAUUAUUGUGCUAUUUAUCCUCUUCAUACAAGUCUUUUAGGGAGACCCUGAUUUAUGGCAGAGACAAACUCUCGUUCGAGGAUGUGAACGGUCACUUGUUGAGUAAAGACAAACUCAACAAGGAGUUUGGUUCGGAUAUCAAGGCAAAUAGAUAACCUUCCAUUUUGAUAGCAUUAAAAAAACGAGACAUAACGUGUCACUAUUGUAAGAAGUUAGGAACGUCAAAGAAAAUAGUUAUAAAUUGCGAAAUAAAAAGGCUACUGAGAGUAACGAGAAUUAUGUAAAUGCUGCUAAUUUGGCUGACAAAAGCGGUGAUGAUUUCUUGUUAGUGUCAACAAGCGAUAACUUUGAGCUUACGUCCGAGUGGAUCCUAGAUUCGGGAUGUUCUUUCCACAUGUGUCCCAUCAGAGAAUGAUUCUCUACAUACAAUUUGGUUGAAGGUUGAGUUGUGCACAUGGGAAAUGAUUUAUCAAAUAAGGUAAUUAGUAUUAAUACUGUUAAAAUUAGGAUGCACGAUAGGAUGAUUAGGACACUCUCAGAUGUCAGGUAUGUACCUGAUUUAAGAAAGAAUCUCAUCUUCUUGAGUAUUUUAGACUCAAAAGGUUGCAGAAUCAACAUCGAGUCGAGCGACAUUAAGGUAUCUCGUGGGGCUUUCAUUUUGUUAAAAUGUAAAAGGACCAACAAUUUUUAUAUUUUGGAAGGUUCUACAAUAACCGGUGGAACCAGAUGUCCCUCGUUCGUUACGGAGUUGAAGUCAACUCGUUUAGAGUGGAUGUAACUUAGACAUAGGAGGGAAAAAGGUAUGAUCAUUUUGUUGAAGAUAUGUUCUCUUUUGGAUGCAAGUAUUGAAAUGUUAGGGCACUGUGUUCGUGAAAAUCAAACUCGUGUUAGUUUUGGUUUGGCAGUGCACAAGUCGAAGGCUAGAAUUCUUCCAGUUUCUAAGCACAGAUUCAACUCAGUUAAUUCUUUGCAUAGUUAAAGAUAGGCCGGUGGCGGGCUGUGGAAAAUAUGGCGUUGAGGAAAUAUGAGUAAAGGUGGAGACUUGUUAAGUAUGCCUCAUAUUUCAGUCAAAUUUAAGAGAGAAUAUUCUAAUUAAACUUUGUUUAUUUGUUUCAGUCGAACUUUGAUUAGUCUAGAUUAUUUUAUUAUUAUUUGACCUACAAAUUUAGCCUAUAAAUGGGCUCUUUUACACCAUUAGAAAAUACACCCAUUAAAAUAUUAGAAAUCAUAACAUUUUUGGAGAAUCUUGUGUUUACGUUUUGAGGGCUCUUUGUUUUUGGGUUUAGUUUUUAUCUCCAUCUUUUACAUUCUUCGUUCUUUUUCCAUUAUAGUAAAAUUAUCUUUGCCCAUGGUAUUUUAUCCUCUUUGGAGGGAUUUUUCUACUUUAAAUUUGUGUGUUCAAUUUCUUAAAUUUUUUUGGCUAUUUUUACUUAUUUGUUGCUUAAUCUGGUCGAUCCUCAACAAUUGUGCUCAUAUUCGAUAAAUGAUUUUCAAUCAUAUGAGCUUCAUAAACCUGCUGUUUACGUGACGGGAAAAGAUGGCAUUAGUAUUCAAAAGUACAUAGACAACAGUAAUAGAAUGUAUACUUUUUAAAGUUGUUUCAUUAUUUUGGAUAAUUUAGAUGUAUGUCUAUUAAUUAUUAAUAUUGUUUUUAUCAUAUUAUUUUUUAAGAGAAAAAAAUGUAAAAGCCAAUGCAAAAAUUUACCUGACUGUUUACAAGGAACAAGAUGGGAGACCUUUGUAAAGUUAACGUCAUAUCCAGAAUAGGCCCAAAUCCAUAUGAUCCAUAUGUACUAAAGGUAAUUAUAUCUUUUUUAUUUCUUGAUAGAACGCAUAAUUUAUUUUUUUAUUAUUCAUUUAUGUAUCAAUAUUUAAUUAUAUGUUGGAAUUGUUCAUACAAUUGAUAUUUUUGUUUCUACUUUCGCUUGAUAUAUGUGCUUUGGGAGAAGAUAUUUUAUGUGCUAACAAAUACGAUGCUUAAAAUAUGUAUGCUCAUUACCAGGGGAUGAGUGGUACUUCAAUGGCUAAUGCAGUUGUUGCUGGCAUGCUAUCCUACAUUAAGACAUUUCACAAGGAUUGGGGAAUAGCAAGAAUUAAAUCAGCUAUAAUGACUCGUGUUAAUUGAACAUCUUUUUCUUAUCCAUUAGUUUUAUUAAAACCUUUUUAAGUAUUACAAGUUUGUUUAAGUUUAUGUUAUGAACUUUUGUUUUAUUCUUUUGGAGCUUUAGGAUAAACUUUCUUCUAAAAAUUGCAGGAAAUCCAAUGAUAAAGUCAUCUGAUGUAGUUGUGCUAGCAAUGGGAAGUGAAUGUAUUAAUCCAUUGAAAGUAAUGAAUCCAAGCUGAGUAUAUCAUGUAUCUCUUGAAGAGUAUAGAAGAUAUUUGUUGAGCCAUGAGGGUGAAUUAGAAUAUUUAACAUUAAUGGAGGAAAACAUUGAAGGAGAAAAAAUCUUUGGGAUGGAUCUUAACUUACCGAAUUUUAGUUUGGUGUUGGAUAAAACUUCAAAAUAUAUCUUUAAUAGAACACUGACAAAUGUAGGUUAUCCCAAGUGUAGCUACAAUGUUGAAAUAAGGUUGUAUAGUAGAACAGAUACCUCAAGGUCAGGGGAAGAAGUACAAGAAGCAUUUCUAAAGUAUAUUAACAUAUAGGUUGAACCAUAUGUGUUAAACUUUAGCAACAUUGAGGAAAGAAAGUGUUUUAAGGUGAUAGUAAGAAGUUCAAUGGCAUUUAGUGAUUAAUUUUUAUUGGCACAUGCAAAAUUUAUAUGGCGCGAACAGAAGGAAGACAAUGGAAGGAAUCAAUGCAUCGGUAUAUCAAGCCCUAUUCUUAUAUUGAGUAAGAGUCUAUGGGAAUUGUAAGAUCUAUAUUUCAUCCAGUUACUUUUCGUUAAUAUCUUUUGCUUACUUUAAAAUUGAGAUAGAAAAAAAAAAGUUAUAAUUAAUCGUUAAGAUACUUGUGUUUGUAGGAGACUUAACAUAAAGGAUGAUUUUGUAAAUGAUUUUAAAGUGCCAAGAAAACGAAAGGCCGAACAGAGAAUUGGUGUGAGUUAGGAUCUUUGAGAUGGGCUAGGCUUCAAGAUCAAAAUAAAUAUACGAGCAAGAAAUAACGUCGCGUUAAUCACAAAGCUUAGUAAGAACAAAUGAAAAUAAAACAUGAAACUGACCUUGUUCAAAAUAAAGAAUAGUCAUAAAGACAUAAAAUGAAGUUAUACCUAAUUGUAAGUAUCGCUUAAAAAGAGAAAGUAAUAAUUCUUAUUUAUUUUUCUUUAAGAUAAACAUAUCUAAUAUAUAUAUUCUAUAGUUAAGUUUUUAAUAAAUAAGCAAAUAUUAGCUUGUUAACAUAGUUCAAAAGCUGCCAUGUGAAAGCACAAUUGAUUGCCACGUGUAUCAAAAAAUGAAUAAUUUGAUUUCAUUACAGCCUUUCAUUAUAAAUAAUUUGAUUUUUAAAUCCUAUUUUACCCUAUUAACCUUACCAAUUCAGUCCAAUCCAAGCAUUGCAAUUUUGUUUCAUUCAUCUUGCAAUCCAUUAUGAAUAUACAUGCUGUUUUAUAUAUUAUAUCGAUUCAUAUCCAUCCUUUUCAAUUCGAUAUUAAUUUUUUAAUUUAUCAGGUAACAUAAUAUACUUUAAUUCAGUUUCUAUUAAUAGUUUACCUUAAUACUAUAUAAUACAAUAUAUCAUGAAUAUACAUUAAUUAUAAUUAGUUUCGAGUUAUAGAAAUACAAAUUGGAAGCUCGCGUCAUAUGUCGUCGACUCUUGCCUUCCCUUUCGCUUUUGACGAUCAUGCGUUGUUUUUAGCUACAAAUAAUAUUUCCAUAAUAGUAUAAUAUCAAGUUCUAUCCAAAUCACAUUCAAUUACAAGAUCAUACAUAUUUUAAAAAUUAUUCAAUUUAGUCCUCUAUUUCAAUCAUCAAUCAAAUUCAUACUAAUACUAUUCGGCCAGUCAUAAUCAAAUAUAAAUUCAUUAAAUAUCUCAAAUUGAGAUUCAUCAUAUUCAAUUUAUCAUUCCUUUACGAUUUAAUCCAUAUCACACCUUUUUGUACCAAAUUGCAAACAAUACAAAUUACUAACAUACAAAACAAUUUCAUAAUUCAAAAUAUAAUCACCAUAUGAAUUGAUCUGGUUAAAUCAACAAACAAGUUGAAACUUUAAGGACUAUCUGACAAUUUUAUCUUUUCCUCGAUUAUUUCUGAUUUGAUUCAAUCUUUUAUCUAUACAAUUAUUCUAUUCAAUUUAUAAAUUACACACAUCUUAUAUCAUCAUAUUUUGUACAUGUAUCAGUUCAAUUUUGAUUUUUCAAAUGUCCUCUAAAUUUUAUAUCUUUAUGUCUUUAUGAAUAUUCUUUAUUUUGGUUAAUUCGAUUAAUUUUAAUUUGGUUAAUUCGGUUAAAUGAACAUUACCAAUUUAUUUUUUUACAUGUUUUGUACAUGUUUUAACAAAAAAAACAUAAAAAUUUCGGUUAAUUCGAUUAACCGAUCAAAUUAAACAAAAUAGUUCGGUUCGGUUAAUUUAUUUUGAAAAAAAAAUCAGUUCGAUUAAUAGUUAAGGGUUUAAAAAUUUUGAUUAAUUUGGUUAAUGCUAAUUCGAUUCGGUUAACUGAUUGAAUAUGUCUAUCGGUUAGGCAAAAAAAGUACCAAAUUAUUCCCAAAACAUGGUAUACAUAAAACAUGCUUAAAUAUUAUCAAAAUAAGUGUAAGAACCAUCCGCAAAACAUUGUCAACCAUACGUUACAACAUGAAAGUAUUGAAAUGAUGUCAAAAACGUGUUACGACCUCAUGAAUUCGUUCUAAACAAGUUUAAUAAAUAUUCAAAAUGUUUCCCACACGUCAAAAGGAGUAAAUAUGCAUGCAUGCUAUCAAAAUUAAGGUCAUAAGUACUCAUGGUUUAAUCCAACAAGCUAUGCGACAACGAUAAAAAUCAAACGCCACAUCCAAAUACAAGGCCAAGAGUGGUUUGGAACUAAUAUAUGUAAACACAAACUAAGGACCCUUUAGUAUAUGUCACUAGGAAUCAAAUACAAAAAUUUCAUACUCCCAUAUCUCACAAUGGUGUGAGUUGAGAUCUUUGAGAUGGAUUAGGCUUCAAGAUCAAAAUAAAUAUACGCGCAAGAAAUGACGACGCGUUAAUCACAAAAGCUUUGUAAGAAUUAAUGAAAAUAAAAUAUGAAACAUAAUCAAAAUAAAGAAUAGCUAUAAAGAAAUAAAAUGAAGUUACAAACUAUCUAUCAACCAAAACAAAAAUCACUCGAGUGAGUCACUAUAAUAGACUUAAAUAUAAACAUCACAAUAUGGAGAGAAACAUUGACAUUAUUUACACACAUAUUUCUUAACACUCCAUCAUUUUCAUUAUCAAAAUUUAAAGAGUUCACCCUUGUUAAUCUCAAUGAAAUGUGUUUUGGACACUUGAGUUCUAACCAAACACCGAUACAAUGAGUUUCACUAAAGUGCAUUGAAUCGAACACCAUAUCACUUAGGGCCUUCACUAUGCAUAUAACUGUUAUGCAGUAAGACAAGUUUUGUUGUUUUCUCACUAAAUGUUGUCUUCAACAAUUAAGUGUGUUCACUAACCCUAUUGGCAUGUCAAUUGUGUCCUAGCUCUUUCACUAAACUUACAAAGGCAAAUGUCUUAUUUACUUUAAAUUACAUAUAUUACACUCCUCUUUUAAUUAGGAUUGAUAAUAACAUAUAUAAAAUAACACUCAUAUUUCAUUGAUUUAUUCAUAAAAAUUCACAUCAAUAAUCCACUUGCUUGAAGGAAUAUUUACAAUCACUUUUCAUUGUAAAUAUACCUACACAUACCAUAUUAUUCAUAAGGUUUAUUCUAACAAUUUCUCAAUACUAAAUACUUUCUCUUACAGUUUGAAUACCAUAAUUAAGAUAAAUCAUAGUUUUACUUUUAAAAGACCUUAUCAAUCAAAUUAAGCAAAAGAAGAUGUGGAUUUAAUAUUAUUAAAGCUCUUCUACUUUAAUAUCUAAUAAAAAUUAUCAAUAGUACUAAUUUUAUUAAGUGAUUAUAAUAAUGUUCCAAUAAUUUUUUAUAUGAUUAAUAUUUUAAUAAUUUGACUAUUAAAUUUAUUAAUAUAACCAAGUAAAUUUUUUAAUUUAGUAUAUAUACAAUAUUUUUUGCAAAAGUGAAAACUUUAAGUUGUAAAGGACUUGUAUAAUUUUAUUACUUUAUAUAUGAAUAGUAAAUGAGACCACACAGUAGAUAAUUCCAAAAUUGAAAAAAAAUUAAUUGGUCAAAUUAAUGAUUUCCAGCAAAUAAGAAGUCAAAAUUUAUAUGAAAUUAAAAUUUGGUUAAACACAUGUUUAAAAAAUAUAUAAAAUACUAUUAAAAAUUUGAAACUUGUUUAACAAUAGAGUUAAUUUUCCGAAACUAAUAUAUAAUAAAGCAGAGUUUGUAUGCAAAUAAGGUAAGGUAAUUUUCAGUUCUAGAAUAAUUUAUAUGAUAACAUGUGCGACCGCUAGAAUGUCGACACACUAUAUUCACUUAUUAAUUGUGCACAAAUUUUCAUUUCAAUUAUUUAUUUAUUAAAUGCUGAUUUAAAUUAAAAUUACAACUAUUAUCAUUUGAGUACUUAUUAAAGUUCCCUUUUUUUUUAUUUUCUUUCACACGAAUAUUACAAUUAACUGAUAAGCCUUACUAUUAUUUGGAAACACCUUUUUACUCCAUUGUCAAAAUAUCUUGUUGCAUUUUUUCUGCUUUUGCAUUAACGGAUAAGCCUUAGGCCCUACAAAAUUAACCUCCCAUCUAUCUCUAAUUAUCUACCCACAUUCCUCAUUAUCAGUCCAUAAAAUUUCAAUUUAAACUGUUUUGGCCUCCUUGCAUCCUUUACCUCUAUAUCAACAAGCAAAGGAGCAUGAUCAGACCCAACAAUAGAAAGAUUAAUAACAUGGGAAAUUGGAAAAUAUUCCAUUCAUGCAAUAUUAUCGAGGGCUCUAUCAAUCCUUUCCUUUAUUGUCCCAAGUAAAUUUAAGCCCCUUAAAAUGUAAAUCACUAAGCUCCGUCUCCUCUAUCAUACUCCUAAAACAUCGAAUUUUCCUGUCAUCCCUAAGCCAACCCGUUUCCUUCUUAUAAUAGCGAAGGAUAUCAUUAAAAUCUCCAACACAUAGCCAAGGCCCUUUAAUGAAUCUAGCAUUUUCUUUAAUGCUAUCCUAAACCCCCUUUCUUUCUUCAAACUCAAUAGGUCUAUACACACAAAACACCCUUACAACAUGCCCACUACCAUUAUCCUCCACAUUAGUAUAAAUUAAACUCUUAUUUUUUUUUCCAGCACAACCAUUUUAACUCCCUCUUGCCACCAUACUACCAAAACCCCAUUUAAACCUUCUUGAUCCACAUAUAUAACCCCUUCCAUCUCGCAUUUCCUUUUAAAACCCUCAACUUAUUUUUACUAUUUUUUGUUACUCUUUCAAAUUCUGAAUUGUCAAGGAAGACCCCAUACCUUGACAAUUCCAAUAAGAACCUCAUGGCCCUUUGGUGGCUAUUAUAGGACAACCAUCGUAACCUUCAGCAUCAACCUGCCUUUCUAAAGGGACUUCAACCAAUACCUCCGAAACUCAAGCCUAGGAAUUCCCUCCCCUACCUUUCUUUUACUCCUUCCAACCCAUUUAUACUUCUUCACCCUCCCUCUUCUCCACGGCCCCUUAGCAUUCUCUUUAACCCCUUUAUUCCUAUUGUUUCCUAUUAACCAAUCCUCGAUUUUUUUUUCUUUCUUCCCUAAUUAUUUUUUUGAUCAUCAUCUUCCAAGCUUCUCUUCAAAGACAUACCUUGUACCAUUUCAACCAAAAUUUCUUCAGCCACCACAAUUUGCUUAUCCAAUUGCGCAUUUUUUUCCACACUCUCCUUCUCACAUUUCUCACCUUCAUCAGAAGGAAGCUCAACAAAGUAAUGACUCAAUCCAACUAUUACUACCUUUCUUCCAUUCUUUCCAACCAUCUUACCAAAAAGCCUUUCUUCAAAACACACAUCAGAUUCAACACCCUCAAUCCCCUCCCCACUCAACCCUCUUUCCCUUCCUUAUGCAAAUAUAUUUCUUGCCUAUUAAAUCCCUCAAACCCAUCAUCCACUAUCCAUUCCUUCAGAACCUUUUCCCCUCCCCCUUCUUACCUUCUCCACUACCACCUAUAUCUUCCACACUUCCUCCAAAACUACCCAUUGUGAACCCAUAUCCCUUUCUCCCUCAUUCUCACCCUUUAUUUCCAAUAUCCCACCCAUUGCAUAAUUCACUCAGACCUUUCUCUCCCUUCCCUUCCCACUCUUCAAAAUUCUUUCCUAGCCCCACAUCCUUCCCCUCAUUUAUCCCAAGCACAAAAUUAUCCCUACCCCAACAGCUUUCAUCCAUCCACCAUACCUUCUAACCUGACCUUCAUCACCCCAUUUCACCUCUUCAAAUCUACAUAUUCUUAUUAAUGUCCCACCCUACCACAUCAAAAGCAAAAAACUGUAAUCUUCUCAUAUUUUAUCUCAGCUCACACCUUAUCCUUACCCUCCCUCAGUACAAAAAAUCCAAGAACUAAGGGUUUUUUUCCAAAUCAGGCUCAAUUCUAACCCUCAAAAACUUCUACUUCAUCCCCUCUCCAAAACUCUAUCAUCCACCUUCACCAGCUUUCCUAGCCUACUGCCAAUAAAUUUAGCAUUCCUAAUUGUCAUCAUUUCUAGAGGUAAAUUAGAUAUUUGGAUCCAGAUAGUCACCUUAGUAAAAUCCAGCUCUUUAAUUGUUCGAUCCACUGCCCAGCUCUUCAAGUUCAAACAAAAGCCCAUCGCUGUCCAUGGUCCAUUCUCCAAACUGACUUUAUCACCUCAAGAUUAGCAAACAAAAGAGCAUACAUAUUACCUCCAAGCUCCAGCACCUCUUCUAGUUCUGCCUCGGACCAUAUACUCUAUAAAACCCCUUUAACCCUGCUCCUCUUAAUAGUUUUAUUCGCAUGAAUUUUCCCAACCAGUGUAAAUCUCGUAGCCCUUUCCAAAUCCCCUUUAGCUGCUUCCAACUGUAUCUCAAGCUCAUCAAAAUCGCUCUCCCUUUCUAUUAAAAAAAACCCCUAAAUCAAUGCAAAGAAGAUAAUUAGAUUAAAUAGUGAUAUUAUUUUAUCCCCUUUUUAAUAGAAAUCGUCACAAUUAGAUCCAACAAAAGAAGAAUCACCAAAACAAGCCAUAAAAAAACAAAGAACUCAAACAAGACUCAAUCGACACCUACAGACUGCCCUAAGACUCAAAAUUAAAAGACCAAACUCUUUUCUUAUUAUAAAAGACUCAAAAACUUAACAAAAAUAAAGAAAAAAAACAAAAGAAAUAAAAAAAUUGACUCAAAACCAUGUAACCAAGACCCUUUAAUGAAUCUAGCCUUUUCUUUAAUACUCUCCCAAACCCCCUUUCUUUCUUCAAACUUAGUAGGUCCAUACACCCAAAACACCCUUAUAGAAUGCCCACUACCAUUAUCCUCCACAUUAGUAUAAAUUAAACUCAUAUUUUUGUCCAUCACAACCAUUUUAACUCUCUCUUGCCACCAUACUGCCAAAACCCCAUUUAAGCCUUCUUGAUCCACAUAUACAACCCCCUCUAUCUCGCACUUCUUUCUAAAACCCUCCAACUUAUCAUUACUAUUUUUUGUUACGCUUUCAAAUUCUAAAUUGUCAAAAAAAAAAACCCAUUCCUUGACAAUUCCAAGAUAAGAACCUCAUGGCCCUUUGGUGGCUAUUAUAAGACAACCAUCGUAACCUUCAGCAUCAACCUGCCUUUCAAUAGAGACCUCAACCAAUACCUCCGAAACUCAAGCCCAUGAAUUCUCUCCCCUACCUUUCUUUUACUCCUUCCAACCCAUUUACACUUCUUCACCCUCCCUCUUCGUCACGGCCACUUAGCAUUCUCUUUCACCCCUCUAUUCCCAUUGUUUCCGUUUAACUAAUCCUCGAUUUUUUUGUUUCUUUCUUUCCCAAUUAUUUGUCUGAUCAUCAUCCUCCAAGCUUGUAACACCCUAGACCUAGCCUAGAUGUUAUGUCCGAAUCUGACGAUGUCACAAGGUAGUGCUUUUUGAAUAAUAUGUCGUCACUAAAUCCCUUUUUUUAUUUAACCAUUUUUCAUUAUCUUAUGUUAAUUUCAAAUCGUGUCGUUCAUUUCCAAAACCUUAUUAAUUUACAAAUCGUUAUUCAAUUUCAAAACAUUUCCUUAUUGUGGAAGCUUUUAAACAGUUUACGUAUUCAUGGUAUUUUUGAUAAAACAUUAAUUUCAUUUAAAAACUUGAGUUUUACCUAACACUGGCAGAUUUAAAUCAUAAAACCGUAUGAAAACCAAAUUUAAACCAAAAUCUGUAAAGGCCAUAAUUACAGCAAAAUACUCCCAAAUAAAAGUAAAAUCAUAAAUAGGUAAUAAACAGUGUAAAAGAAGUCGUGUGACCUCCAUUGAGUCCUCCGCUGCAUCGAUUCGCCUAAAUCUGGGAAUUACCUGUACAGAUUAAACAGAAGGGGUGAGUUACGUAAACUCAGUGUGUAAUCCUCAUACAAAUGAAUAGACAGUAAACAAAUAAUCACAGUUUGGGCUUAAGCCAUUUUCAGUAUCAAUAUCAGUCCAGUUUGGGCCUUAGCCCAUCUCAGUACAAAAACAACAAUGCAGUUGGGCUUUAGCCCACCAUAGUAUCAGUAGUAGUAAAAUAUAUGCAAUCAUAAAAAUCCUACCCAUCUAGCCUCUACACACCAUCUUCGUCCAACCCGACACUCCAUGUAGGGAUAUAAUCAACCCACCCAUCCUUACACUCUAAGUAGUACCGAAUGCGGUACUAAGCAGUAGUUUGUAGCUGAGCUACCAGUAUAUUAGACUCGAGGCAUUUCAGUACACCUCCUCCGAACAUUAUAAUCCCUAAACCCAAUGCAAUGCAAUAUACAGAUAUGACAUGCUAUAACAUAAUGUCAUGCAUGUAAACAGGGUAUACAAUAUCAAAUCAGUGGGAUAUCAUCAGGCUUAAUCAUAUCAGACAUAUAGUCGUUUCAGUCAAUUAGGGGUCUAGGUAAGCUUACCGACCCUACAGUAGGUUCACAGUCAACUUGGGCGACCUGUGUAACCUUAUCAGUCAAACAGUGAAAAUGGGCCUACAAGGCCAUGAUGUUCGCCCGUGUGGGCCCAUACGCCCGUGUGGCCCACAUGACCCAAAUUGGCCUUGGCCUCGUGAUCCAUUAUAAUGUAACCCAUGCUAGUUAUUUAUUCAUAUGUGUUUCCACUAUUUACUCAUAUAAUCCUCGAAAGCUGUCUACAUGAGUCACUGCUACUAAAUUAUUUGUAUCUUAGGUUACAGAAUUCUGAAUUAAGAUCCGCAAAUUUUCCUUGAAAUCAGACUCACAUAUCUUCUAACCAUAAAAUUUUUAGAAUAAUUGGUUUAGCCAAUAAGUACAAUUUAUUCUUUAAAAUUUCCCCUAUUCUGCUGUCGGACAGUUUCGACCUUUUUGCACAAAAAAUUAAUCAUCUUCUCGUAUAGAAUUCGGAUAAUGUUUCUGUUUGUUUCUCUUAAAAGUAUAAUUAGUUAGAAUUUUAAAUAUAUAAAUUCUAACCAUAAUUAUUUUUAUAAAAUUUUUAAUAAUUUUCCAAAAUCAGGACAGGGGAUUCUAAAAUCAUUUUGACCCUGUCUCACUAAAAUUCGAAUAUCUCAUAAUAUGAAAUUAUUUUGCUUACUUCGUUUCUCUAUGAGAAACUAGGCUCAAAUAUAUUUAAUCUUAUAUUUUUUUCAUCCUCUAAUUCGAUUUAUAGAAUUUAUGGUGAUUUUUCAACGUUAUCCUACUGCUGCUGUCCAACAGUAAGAAAUUUUAGCUUUUCUCUAAAUCCCUUAUUUUUGUGUUUCGGGUAGACACCUGGUUUUUUUAUGCUAAAAUAGUCCCCGGGCACUCCAAAACCUAUAAUUUAACACAUAACACCAUAAUCAAUCUUACCUCGCGAUUAAUCAAAAUCCCAAAACCAAAAUACUUACUCAAAAAACAAUGAGCACUUACCGCAAAAACUUCAAAUCGAUACGUUUACAAAAAUCGAUGAGAGCCUUAAUUCUCGCAAAAUGCUGCUGCCAAGACCCCAGAAUUAGACUAUUGAACACAAAAUAAUCUCUUAAAAUGAUACCUGACAACUUACUAAAUUUGCACAAGUGCUGCUUAACGCUGCGAAAUCAAGAGGAAAGAAUGGUGUAGGGGAACAAGGGAAUUUCGGCAAUAGAAGAAAGAAAAGAAAAGAUAAUCGAGUAAGAAGCAAAGAAGAAAAAAAAUUGGUAGAGAUUGAGGAGAGAAAACGUCAGAAAGAUGGAGAGAAAAAUGACUCUUUUUUUUCGAAAAAAGAAAAAGUGAUCAGAUGUUAGAUAUUCUCCCCCAUAAUCCCCUGAAAUCACUUCCUCACUUCCCACUACACAUCCACCACUUAGAAUCCCAGUUCAUCACAGCUUUUGUCGAAAUUAGGAGCAAAAAUGCAACCUUUGUCAUCCCAAAGAUUUGAACCCAUGACCUCUUUCGCAACAACACUCCACUUAUCCACCAGACCAGUAGGCCCAUUCUGUUAAUUAUUUUCCAACUUUUAGUUAAAAGUCUACUGACCAAAGAUAGGGCUUAUUCAUAAAAAUACCAAAAUUUGCCCAAGUCCUAGCUUGAACUUGGGACCUCUCAGACACUCUCAGAACACAUAACCACUAAAGCUGACAGAUGUUUGUGUCACACAUUCACAAUACCCAAAAUUAAAAUUUUGGGGCGUUACAAUUCUACCCUCUAGAGAAAAUUUCAUCCUCGAAAUUUACCUGAUCAGAACAGAUGAAGACACUGCUUACACAUCGCAUCCUCAGGCUCUCGUGUGGCCUCUUUAGUGUUAUGAUUAUGCCAUAGAACAUUUACCAGUAGAAUGAAUUUCCUUCUUAGAACCUUAACGUAGCGAUCCAGAAUCUUAACUGGUUCUUCUUCAAAGGUCAGAUUGGCCUAACCUCGAUCUCUUGAAUAGUAACAAUAUGCGUGAGAUCAGAGCGGUAGUGCCUCAACAUUGAGACAUGAAACACGUCGUGAAUCUGAUUCAAUUUUGAAGGUAACUCCAACUGGUAGGUAAUCGCUCCUACACGUUUCAGUAUGCGGUAAGACCCAAGAAACCUAAGGCUCAACUUACCCUGACGACCAAACCUCAAUACCUUCUUCCAUGGCGAGACCUUGAGAAAAAUAAAAUUUCCCACAGAAUACUGAAUCUCUCGACGCUUCAGAUCGGUGUAGGACUUCUACCUAUCAGAUGCCGCUUUCAAUCGGUCCCGAAUUAAUCUAACUUUAUCCUCGGUAUUAGAAACUAGUUUAGGGCUUAAAACACGCUGCUCGUCCAAUUUAGUCCAACAUGAAGGUGUGUGACACCUACGGCAAUAUAAAGCCUCGUAAGGUGCCAUUUGAAUGCUAGACUGAUAACUGUUGUUAUAAACAAACUUUACUAGCGGUAAGUAAUCCUUCUAACUGCCUCAGAAAUCACUCACACAACUUCUCAACAUAAACUCCAGUAUUUGAAUCACCCUCUCUGACUGACCGUCAGUCUAAGGAUGGAACGCAAUACUGAAAUCCAAUCUUGUAACCAGAGAUUCAUGUAACUUCCUCUAAAAUCAAAACGCGAAACGAGGAUCCCUAUCAGAGGUGAUCGAAACCGGUACUUCAUGCAGUCUCAUUAUCUUAAAAAUAUAAAGCUUUGUUAGCUUGUGCAGAGAAUAAUCAGUACGAACCAGUAUAGAGUGGGCGGACUUGGUUAAUUGAUCCACGAUGACCCAUAUUGAAUCUUUCGUAGUGGGUGUUAGAGGUAACCCAUUAAUGAAAUCCAUAGUUACGUGCUCCCAUUUCCAAAGAGGAAUCUUAAUUGACUGCAGCAAACCUAAAGGUAACUGAUGCUCAGCCUUAUCCUGCUGGCAAGUCAGACGUUUGCCCACAAAAUCAGUAACCUCACGUUUCAACCCUGGCUACCAAUAUAACUCACAAAGGUCUCGGUACAUCUUAUUUCUGCCAGGAUGCAUAGCAUAAGAGUUACUAUACGCCUUUCGCAGUAUAGACUGCCUUAAUUCAGUAUCGUUCGGUACACAGAUUCUCUCACGAAAAUAGAGAACCCAUUCGCUAUUCAAUCCAAAAUUCUUGGUAUUCCCACUCUCAACCUGUCAGAAACAAAGUCCUAACGACUCAUCCUCUUUUUGCUUACCCUUAAUUUACUUUAUCCACGUCGGUUUAACUUUUAAUUCGGCCUACAGACUACCAUCAUCAAAUAAACUUAGGUUAGCAAAUAUCGCCCUCAAAUCAGUCAUAGCCCUACAGCUCAGUGCAUCAACCACCACAUUGGUCUUACCAAGGUGGUACUCAAUGGUGCAGUUAUAGUCUUUAAGCUGCCCAAUCUUUCUGCGUUGCCUAAGAUUAAGCUUCUUCUGAGUGAGAAGAUACUUGAGGCUCUUAUGAUCAGUGUAGAUAAUACACUUCUAAUUAUACAAAUAAUGCCUCCAGAUUUUUAGUGUGAAUAUCACAGCGGCCAACUCCAAGUCAUGCGUCAGAUAAUUCGCCUCAUGGGUCUUAAGCUGACGAGAUGCACAGGCUACCACCUUACUAUCCUACAUCAACACACAUCCCAAACCGACAUGUGAUGCAUCACUAUAAACAGUAAACUCUUUUCCAAGCUACGACUGUAUCAGAACAGGGGCAUCCGUCAGUACAGUCUUGAGCUUUUCAAAGCUUUCUUGCUGUGCAUCAGUCCAGAUAAACGGCACACCCUUACGUAGAAGCUUAGUUAAGGGUGCUGCAAUCAAUGAAAAAACCCUCUACAAAUCAUCGAUAAUAUCCCGCCAGUCCCAAAAAACUACGGAUCUCAGACAUGUUUCUAGGCUGCUUUCAUACCGACACAACCUCAAUCUUUUGAGGAUCAACUUGAAUUCCCUCAGUCGAAGCUACAUGACCAAGAAAUGUCUCUUCAUGCAGCCAGAACUCGCACUUACUAAACUUAGCAUAGAGUUGUUUUCCCCUCAAAGUCGGAAGAACGACUCGAAGGUGCUCAUCAUCAGUCCUCGAGUAAACCAGUAUGUCAUUAAUGAAUACCACCACAAAUCGAUCCAAAUAAGGUUGGAACACUCGAUUCAUUAAAUCUAUGAAAGCUAUCGAUGCAUUAGUCAGUCCGAAUGGCAUCACUAGGAACUCGUAGUGACCAUAACGAGUCCUAAACGCCGUCUUAUAAACAUCAUCCUCCUUAACCCUUAAUUGAUGAUAUCUAGAUCAAAGGUCAAUCAUAGAGGAAACUGAAUCUCCUCGGAACUGGUGAAACAGAUCAUCUAUCUUCUGUAGGGGGUACUUGUUCUUAAUGGUCAAUUUAUUCAGCUGCCUGUAGUCGAUGCAUAUAUGCAUGGAUCCAUCCUUUUUCUUUACAAACAGAACCGGUAUUCCCCACGGAGACACACUGAGACACAUGGACCCACGAUCUAAAAGCUCUUGAAUCUGAGUCUUAAGCUCCACAAGCUCCUUUGGUGCCAUUCUAUAGGGAGCGAUAAACACUGGAGUUGUACCAGGAAGGAGCUCUAUCCCAAACUCUACUUCACGAUCAGAUGUAAACCCGAUAGCUUAUCAGGAAAGUCGUUCGAAGCAUCCUUUACCUUUCUGAUAUCCUUAACUGUAGAGUCCUUAGAAUCUGGAACGCUUACUUUGGCCAAGAAUUCCUCACAUCCCUUACGAACCAACUUUUCUGCCACCAGUGCAGAGAUCACAUUAGAUAAGUAAUUCUGAUGUUCUCCGAUCAUGACUACCUCCAUAUCCUCUUCAGCAAUUUUCACCUUCUCGACCAGAGCAGAAAAAUCUCGCUCCCACUGCGGGGUUAUCAGAACUCUCAAAUUAUCUCCGAAGCCAUCCUCAAAAUGGACACAUCGCUCAUACUCAUAUACCACCAUACCUCACACAUAGCAGCUCAGUAUUAGAAACUCAGCCUCGUACUCGACCAAUGAUCGAUCCCUCUAUAUAAGAUUCAAAAACUCCCCCUACGUGCAUCCACAUAACUAGCUCUGACAUACUUCCCCUUGAAGGCGGUCUUAAAGAACUCUCAAGUCAAACGUUUGGGCUGAGUGCCCUCUUUAACGGUCAGCCACCGCUGAUGAACCUCGUCCCGCAGUAGUGAGACUGUACCCUUUAAUUUCUGUUUAGGGGUGUAAUCUAAAUCAUCCAUGAUCCUCUCCGUGGCCUCAAUCCAGUACUUGGCCAAACUAGGGAUGACCCCAAUGACACCCUUGAAGAGCUUAGCUCCAUUGGACCGGAGUCAUUUUGUAACCGACCCUCGGCCCCCAAAUCCAAUAUUAGGCCCAGCGACCCUCUCUAAAAUCCUUAGCAUAGCCUUGAACAAUGCAUCGUCCCCAGCCAUGCGAUAUUGAGACCCAGUCUCAGUAGUAGGCGACACUGGCGUCUCACUCAUAUCCAAAUUUGGCAAAUAGCCAGAUGACGAAGAUCCAGCUCGAGCACCUCUACAGCCUCUACCACGGCCUCUUGUACCCCGUCGGCGAGUACCUCUGGUGCUUACUGUCUAAUUGUAAUUUAUUGGUAUUAAUAGUUUUAUGCAUCAGUUUACAGUUCCAGUUACAAACCAAAAUAAAUUAAGCCCAAACCCAAUUAACCUAGCCCAAACACUAAACCCAAUUAGCCUAAACCUAAACCCAAUACCCUGGCCCAACGCCAAAACAGUUUCAAAGAAACCCUAGCAGCAACAGCUUCCAGCGUCGCACCCGCUAAGGCCAUCCUUCGCACGUGUCGGGCCACUCUCCAUGCAUGCAGUGCCUCCACGCCCAGCUGGCGCCGUACGCCCGUACCUGCGCAGCAAACAGACAAACAAAUAACAGAGGACAAACAAACACAAAAGAAGUAGAAAUCGACAGCAAUGAAAAAGCAUGAAAUUGUAAAAAAGGAGAGUAACAAAUCAGAUUUUUGAUUAUUGUUUAUUUUUGUAAUCUUGGUUAUAUAAAGCCAAUACAAGCACUGUAAACACCUCUUUUUUUUUAUUACACACAGAUUAGAAUACAAAAAAAAUUGGAGAGAAAUAAAAAAACUUAAAAGUUGAUUUUUGGUUUUUCCCGUUCACAAAUCAUCUUAUUCUGUUCUUUCUUUUUUAUUUUACGCCUUUUUUGAUUAUUUAUUAAAAGAAACAAAUAAUGAAAAGAAAAGAGAGAACGUACCUGGUGGCCGACUUGCCUUCUACUCCGUUGCGAUCGGAGCCGAAAGGAGGUAAAAGGCAAAACGGCGCACAAACAGAGCCCCGUUCACUUCGUCUGAAAUCGAAGAUGAAUGGGAAUUUCGGGAUUGCAGCGCAUGGGGGAGAAGAGGCCAUUUUUUAGUGUUUCUUAGUUUUUUGAAAAAGAGAUUAAAAAUCUGUUGGUUUUAGGCUUAGUUUAGCCUUUAUUUACUGAAAGAAACGACGCCGUUUAGGGGUUUAUGGCCAUAACCCGAUGACCCGACCCGAGCGUGGUAAGACCCACACGUUUUGGUCUUGGAGGGGACAUUUGCACCAUUAGUCCCUCUGAUUUGUUUCGCAGUUUCAAUUUGAUCUUUCUUUAUUUUCUAAAUUGGUCCCAUGUGUUCGACUUGAUUAUGCUUUGGUCCCUGCUGAAGUGCAGCGUUUUGGAGCUGAAGAUAUUUUCCUCUUUAGCCCCCAUGUUAUUCGCGCGUGCCCUUUUUGGUCCUCAAUUCUGCUGUAUUUUCUUUCUUUUUUCUUUUUAUUUUGAAUUUAAUACAAUUUUGUCCUUACUUAUUUAAUUUAAUGUACUUGGUUUUUAUGCUGUUUACAUUUUUAUUUUUAUUUUUUUCUCUUUUUAUUUUUUUGAUAUAUUUAUUUUAAAAUUUAACUCUUUUUUGGUUAAGUUUAAUAUGUAUUUUUUAAUUUUAUUAAUACUAUUUCAAUAUUAUAAUAUAUUAUUAUUUUGAAUAUAUCAUUAUUAUAUUAUAAAUUUACCUUGUUUUAUUGUUCAAAUUUUAUUAUAUAUCAUUAUUUAAAGUUCCAUAUUUUUAUAUAUAUUUUCAUGUAAAUCCAAUAUGUUUUAUAUACAUUUCAUAUUUUAUUCUAUAAUAUAUUUCCUCUAAACUCACUCAUUACAUAUCUUUAGAUUUGUAAAUAUUUUUUAUAAUGCUAUUAUAUAAUAAUAUUAUAUGCGUACAUAUUUCAUAUUAAAUUAUUUUCAUUAUCCAUACAUACAUAAUCUAUUAUUAAUUUCAUAUUAUUAUAUAGAUGUUUUAUCACUUUCAAAUGUUUUCACAUUUUUAAUUUAUUUCAACUUAUUUCAAUAUUAUUAAUUUAUUUAAAUUUAUUUUAACAUUUAAUUCAUAUAUUAUACUUAUUCUUAAAUUGUGUUUAAAUUUGUAUAUUUCGUUAGUGUUUAUGUAAAUUUACUUGGCUUCAACUAGUCUUCUAUUACUUGCCAAUGUUGGUUUUCGUAUGAUAUAUGGUUGAGAUAAUUAUUGCCAGGCUUGUUUGAAUUUAUUUAUUGAUUAUUGAUUAUUCAUUAAUGUACAUUCUAAUUUACGAAUCACCAUUUCGCGUUGUACGUUACUAUUUCAUUGUUAUUUGUUCAAAAGAUUACGUUCAAUAUCAUUCAAAUACCAAGAGUGUUUUUAUUUAAAAAGUUUUCAAAAAUGACGCAAUACUCGGCAUUUGGGAUCUUCGAAAAGAUUGAGCCCUAACGUAUUGGGUUCCAAUUUUCCUCGUUGAAUCUAAAUGAUCGAAGAUAUGCUUUAAUCAAAACACAUAAAUAAAAGCUCAUUCUCGGGAAUUCGAUAUGUUGUAUCCUAACGCAUUGGGUAGGACAUGUUGCUUUCUCAAGACAAGGAUUUUUCUAACAAAUGGAAAUAAAGGCAAUAUUCGAUAUUUAGGUCUUUUGUGAAAUCGAGCCCUAACUUACUGGGUUUUGAUUUUCUCAUUUGACCCAAAUAAUCAAAUACCCUUCUCAAGAUGUAAAGAUUUUAAAAGUCAAACUUAAUUUUGAGGAUCUGAAAUGUUGCACUCUAACUUACUGAGUGUGACGAUUUAUUUCUUUGAAAUAAGUGGGCCUUAUCAUCCAAUUCAUUUUAUUCACAAUAAAAGGAUCGUAUUUUAAAAUAUUUUCAAAAUUUCGACAUUAAGACAUUAAACACUCAAUUCGGUACCAAUUUUGGGCGUCACGAGGGUGCUAACCCUUCCUUGUGCGUCACCGACUCCUGAACUUGUUUUCUCAAAAUUCGCAGACCUAAAAUUAUUUUCAAAGUGAUCCAAUCACACCUCAUCAAAAAGGAUCAGUGGCGACUCCUAUUUCUAUUUUUUAAAGUCGACCCCCCAUUUUUCAAACUUAAAAAUGGUGUCUACCGCUUGGCGACUCCACUGGGGACUUUUUAGAGAGUCGAGUCAUAAAAUUUAUUGUUUCUUUUCUUAUUAUCGAAAAUUGAGAAUUUGAUUUGAAAAAUUACGAUCCUCUUUCACAUUUGUUUGUAUAAUUACUGUUUUAUACCUUGACAUCAUAUUGCAUAAAGACUGUUAGUCUUUCCCUUUUAAUUGGGAGUGAGAAGCUACUCCUUCGUGAGAUUUUCACCUUUGUGUAGGAUAGUGGAUCGUUUCCGAGAUACAUCUGUACCUAUGUCUUCGUGAGAUUUUCAUCUCCGUGCAGCCAUAGGGAAAUGUAUUCCCCUGAACCGAACUCGGUCCAUAUGAGCCUUUAAUGGGUGAGGAUCGAAGAAUCUGCUGGUUCGGGUACCUUGACCUUAGAACCAAACCUCAUAUAGUGGACUUAGGAACUUAACCUAGGUAGAGCCACUCCAAAUCCUUAGUGGUUACCUGAUUAGAUAUUUUCUAUUUUCCUUGUUUACUUCUGUUUUGUACCAACCCCUCUUGUUUUGUUUUGAUUGAGAUUGCAUUGCAUUUGCAUCUUAGGAAAGAGAUAUUGAUUCAAGUUUGAUUACUAACUUAGAAAGCUUGUCAUGGAAUACGGGUUCCUUGAUAAAGUGGAAAAAAAUAUAGUUGCCUGACUAUAUUCUGAGAAACACAAGAAGAGCAAUGGAAGAGCUCGUGACCUUGCUUCGUGGCCUGAGGAUUCAAGGCGAUCAUCUGAGAGCCUUCGACGUUCCAACCCCUUAAAGAAGCUGACGAGCCUUAUGAAGAUGGGCAGGUGAUGGAUCACGACCAAGAUCAAGAAAAGGAGCUAGCAAUGGCAUCUAUUGGAAAUUGGUGUGAUUAUCUCAAACAUGUGCCUGAAGAAAAAGAUCGAUGUUGUUUCUUGGAAUAUGAGGGUGAGGCCGUACAUGUAUCCGUUUUAUGUAAAGGAAUUUUCUUUCUAGAAAAGUUUCCUAAAUGUAAUUGAAUCAAAAUCAAUGUCUCUCUAGGCAUUCAUUUUAUGUAUCUGUAUUUCAUGCAUUAAAAUCCAUUGAAAGAGUCUAAUUGAGUCAAUUUAUUUCAGCUAAUCUGGAAAACCAACCAACCAAACACCCUUACGAUAUCCAAGCAAAGACUAGAGAAAUGGAACGAAUGUUGGAAAAAUUAGAGCGAAUGCAUAUACAGAUGCAGGAGCAAUUGACUAAAUUUCAACAGGAGAUGAGAGAUCAGAUACUAAAAUUACGAAGAACCAUGAUGAGCCAGUUCAACCGAUUGCUAGCUGGAGAGUUAGAAAAAAGGAAAGACCCGGUGAUCCACUUUGGGGUUGAUAAUGAGGAUCUUGCCUAUUCCCUAGAUUGUACUCCGACAAGUGACCAGGUCCAGCCAGAUAGAUGCCCACAAGGGGCACUCUUUACCAUCAGAUCUCAACGAUAUCAGACUAGUACAACAACACCGGUGAGUUGCUUGACGGGCCCAAGAUCCAAUUAGAGGAACAAUUUUCCUGUCGCUCUUGAUAAUUCAGCAGAAAUAAAGCAAUCGAGGGUGGAGUACCUAGAUACUAUAAAGGCCCCAAGUAAGAUGGGGAAUAAGGAGGAUAAUAGAAGGUCAGUCCCAAAGAAAAAAGAGAAUGAAGUGAACCAUGUGAGUACAUACAACAAAUCGAUUACGGUGAAGUGAACCAUGUGAGUACAUACAACAAAUCGAUUACGGUGAACCAGCCAAGAAAAGUGGUUGCUAGUCAACAAGGUUCAUCAAAACAAGAAUCCUAUGUGAAACAAGGCACUGAAAACCUCCAGUUCACGCCAAUUCUUAUGUCGUAUAAAGAGCUAUAUGAAAGCUUAUUCGAUGCGCACAAUGUUUCCCCUCUCUACUUAAAACCUCCACAGCCUCCGUACCUCAGAUGGCACGACGCGAACGCACAAUGCGAUUAUCAUGCGGAAAAUACGGGGCAUUCCAUAGAAAAUUGCAUUGCCUUUAAAAAAGUGAUUGAAAGGCUUAUCAGUAGGGGCGUCGUCAAAUUUGAUGAUUCCUCCAGUGCAGAAAAUCUGUUACUCAACCAUAAUUGAUAAUGGAGUGAAUGCAAUGCAUGAAGAAGAGUGGGAAAUGUUCACAUCGACGAAAAGCAACUGAAAAGGGACCUUGUUAAAUGUCUGCCCUUAUAAAUUUUGGAGCGUUCUAAGCAAUUGGCCUGCGGAAGAAAUCCCUGUAGUUUUUAGAGCUUAUCUAGAGUAAUCUUUAGAACAUUUUUGUUGUUUUUAGCCUAAAGAUGAUAGAAAUUCCUUUGCGAAAAAGGCUCAUGUCUGAACGUUAUUAUUCUAGUGAAAUACAUCUUUGCGAUCACUUUUGAGCCAAUGUUAUUUCAUUCCUUUUGAAUAAUUAUUACUGAUUAUUUUAUUCUUUUGGAUUUUCUUCCACAUCAUUCAUUCAUUCAUAAUCAUAUUGUAUAAAUAAUUGUUCAUAAAUUUAUACAUUCUUUUGUAUAUUCUUUGGUACUUAUUAUGGGUCAUCAGAUAUCAAUUACGUGAAUGACGCUGCUACAGAAUCAGAUUUUCUUUUUGAGCGAGGCAUGUGCUUAGAGGGAUCUCAUGAUUUUGAAAAUGACAAAGAUUGUAGCUUAUCUCCGGACUUGUUGAGGAUGGUUGAACAAGAGGAUAGACAGAUCCUGCCUCACAAGGAAUCAUUGGGAAUUACGGGCUUGGUGAAUAUUAGAAUUGACCUGACCGCAAAAACGAAGCAAGACCUUAUUGAGUUACCUCUAGAGUUCAAGAUGUCUUUGUAUGAUCAUAUUAGGAUACGCUCGGGUUAACCGCUGAAUAGGAAAUCUGCACAACAGCACGAUGUCAAAAUUUGAAUGAACGAUGCAAUUCUUUGUCGGAGCAAUGCCAUUCUCGUUGAGUUAGCAUAGCUUUGCCCAUUUGAAGUCGAGUUUCCAUCCCUUCAAGAUGUCUUCUAUCGUAGUUGCGCCCUAAAAGGCUCUAUGAAAGAAAUGGAGGUUUUUCUCAUACAAGAUGAAAGUGAGAAAUCUUACCUAAAAAAAAUCAAUCAAAAUUAAAAUCAAAAUCAAAAAGAAAAGGAAAAAUCAAAGUCAAAAGUAAAAAAAAUCAAUCAAAGUCAAAAUAAAAGUAUGAAAAAAUAAAAGAAAAGGAGAGGCCAAGGCGAAAACCCGCAAAGGGCGCUUUGUGACCAAAGGUGGUUUUGAGUUGAAAACCUGAAAAGGGCGACUCAAAUUUUAGGCAAAUGGGGCAUGGACAUCACCAUUAUCGAAGACUUCUAAUGGGCAUUACUUCAUUUUUUAGAUCAUUUGAGGCUGUUUCAUAAGCCAAUGUCAUCAUAUGUUUAUUCCAGAGAAGAUGGUACUGGAAAAUGCAUUGAGCUUGAAUGAUAGCAGGAUAGCUGAGGGCUGAAAUCAAUUCAAAAUCAGACACCACAGUUUGUCACCAUAUUGCAAAACAAUGAAUUGCAAAAAUGACUGAGACUUACAAGGGUUGGCAUGUGAAGUUACCAUCUGCCCUCUUUAUUUUUUUGAACGUUUAUCGGAGCUUUGACUGGGGCAACACUGUUUUCUCUGGUUUACAAGACGGAAGUAGUUCUACCAAUUGAAGUAGAAAUCCCUGUUAUUUGGGUUUUAGUUGAGCAGAAUGAAUCCAAUAUGAUCAAAAGAAAAGGCUACAAGCUAUUCAGUACAGUCAGAUGUACCAAAGGCAAAUAAUGUGAGCCUACAAUCAAAAGGUUUGCUUCAGAGAAUUCCAUAAGGGGAACCUAAUUUGGAGAAAGAUUCUUCCUACACAAAAGGAUUUUAGAGGAAAAUAGAUGCCAAAGGCCUUUUUCGGAGAAGCUCUGAUCCUGAGUAGGAUAGAUGGUAAAACUCGCCAAAUCCUGUAAACUCAGAUUCAGUCAAGAAUUACCUCACCUGAAGAAGGGGAAAUGACCAAGGUGAAAGCCUGCAAGGGUGCCUUGAUUCCAAAAAAAAAAAAAAGAAAAAAAUAAAAAAAAAAGAGAAAAAAUAAAAAAGAUGAAAAAUGAAAAUGAAAAAGUAAAAAUGGAAAGGCUAAGAAAAAAAACCCGCAAAGGGCACCUUAGGCCAAAGGGGAUUUGAGUAGAAAACCCGAAAAGGGUAGCUCAAAUAUUGAUCAGAAUGGGGCAUGAAGCUAUUAGAGCAACUCGUAUCUUGAUCAGAUUGGGGCAUGUGGUAAUCUUGUUAUACCUGAAUCAACAGAAAAAAGUAGGCGACAUGUUGGGGCAUCGACAAAGAACUGUAGAUCUCCUAAACACAUGUGAAACUCAGAAUGGUCUUCUGAAAGUUUGUAUAGAGAAGUUCAAGCUGCGAUAUCUGGGGCACCCAAUUCUCAUAUUAUUUAUUAUUCUUGGAAUAUUUUUCUUUUCCAAGAUAUAUAUUCCCAAUUAAUUCAUUUUUCAUCAUUCUUUACUAUUUUCGAUAAUUUGUUCUUUCGAGUUAUACUCAGAACCAACUUUAUUCUUUUCCAUUAUUAUGACCCUUUUUGCAAACAUGUUGCAUUGGAAUAAUUAUUAAUGGACUAAUAAAACUUUCACAAAGGAAGUUUUGCAUAUUACUCUGAAAAGCUUCUAAAUAAUAUAGGAACUUGAAACAGGACUAUUGUUUAGAACGCACCAAAUUUAAAGGUUGGAAAUUUGAGAAGGAAGAGUCUAAAUUUAGAUUUUUCUCUUUGGAUUUUGUUUUCAAAUGCAUUGAUUGACAAGAUGCCAUAAACCAGCAAGCAAUGAUCACCAAGCAAUAGGAAGAGGUUACCUCAGAGAAGAGAACCUUCAUUUGCGCAUGAGUCUUUGGUACGACACCCUGGAAAUGGUGUAAGGGGACCAGAAAGAUUAAGAUCUCAUAUCCUUGAAUUGUGAUAAAAGAGGAUUGAGGAAAAGUCAUAUUUCUACCGUUGAAUUACACUGGGAAAAUGAUGGUACAAAUCUUGCGCCCCAAUGGAUUGAACAUUUUCGGUUUACAGUGGGGGCAAUCUAACUAAGUGUUUCUUCAGAAAAUGCCAGUCGAGAAGGAAGGUGUUAUAGCACUUCAGUGACAAAGCCUUAAUAAACUUCGAGUAAUGACAACCUAAGCAGGAUCAUUCUCGAAAAAAUAAAAUUCUGCAUUCAUGCAAACACCAUUCACACAUGUCUAGUUAGGAGCAUUUGAUACAUUUUGAUCAUGCCAUCCUAAUCAUUAGGCAUAAUUAAGUUUAUAAACGAGUUAUACAGGUCAUGUUCUCCAGAGAACAGAUCGAUGAAAUCACAAGUCCUAUCUCCCUGGUCAGCAGUGGAGUAGGUAGGAAAUUGCAGAUCUUGUCUCCCUAAGCAGUAGCGGAGCAGAUCGAAGACGGCGAAUCUUAUCUUCAAGUGAAAGAAAGUAGAUUUAAGCCACAAGUCCUAUGUCCUUGAUCAACAGUGGAAUAGGUUGGAAAUUGCAAAUCUUGUCUCCCUAAGCAGUGGCGGACCAGACUAAGAAAACAAGUCUUAUCCCCCUGAAGUCACAGUGGGGUAGAUUGAAGAAGAAAUCUUAUCUCCCUCAGAUUACAACGGAGCAGAUUGAAGCUAGUAAUCCUAUCUCCCUGAGAUUACAGUGGAUCGGAUUAAAGUAAAGGAUCUUAUCUCUCUAAAGUUCCAGUAGAGUAGAUCGCCUCAGGUCUUAUCUCCUUGAGAUUAUAGUGGAAUAGACCGAAGAAUUUCAGAUCUUAUCUCCCUGAGAUUACAGCGGAGCAGAUUAAAGCUAGUAAUCCUAUCUCCCUGAGAUUACAGUGGAGCGGAUUAAAAUAAAGGAUCUUAUCUCUCUGAAGUUACAGUAGAGUAGAUCGCAUCAGAUUGAAGCCAGAAAUCUUAUCUCCCUGAGAUUACAGCGGAGUAGAUUGAAGCUAGUAAUCCUAUCUCCCUGAGAUUACAGUGGAGCAGAUUAAAAUAAAGGAUAUUAUCUCUCUGAAGUUACAGUAGAGUAGAUCGCAUCAGAUUGAAGCCAGAAAUCUUAUCUCCCUGAGAUUACAGCAGAGAAGAUUGAAGCUAGUAAUCCUAUCUCCCUGAUGUUACAGUGGAGUGGAUCGAAGCACCAAUUCCUAUACCUCUGAAGAUGCAGUAGGAUGGAAUGAGUCUACUUGAAGAAGAAGAGCACCAAGGUCCAGUACAACCGGGAAAAUUUGACCAUUUUUAGUCUUUGUUUCAUUUCCGUUACACGACAAUGAGCAAAGAGGGACAGCUGUAGUAACCCAAAUUUGCUCGGCCCACGUACAUUUCAGAAAAAAUAAAUAAAUAAACCAAAUUAUUAUUAAAAGUCCAAAUGUCCAGAUUACAAACCAAAAUAAAUUAAGCCCAAACCCAAUUAACCUAGCCCGGACACUAAACCCAAUUAGCCUAAACAUAAACCCAAUACCCUGGCCCAACGCCAAAACAGUUUCAAAGAAACCCUAGCAGCAACAGCUUCCAGCGCCGCAGCCGCCAAGGCCAUCCUCUACGCGUGUCGAGCCACUCUCCACGCAUGUAGUGCCUCCACGCCCAGCUGGCGCUGUACGCCCAUACCUGCGUAGCAAACAGACAAACAAAUAACAGAUGACAAACAAACACAAAAGAAGUAGAAAUCGACAGCAAUGAAAAAGCACGAAAUUGUAAAAAAGGAGAGUAACAGAUCAGAUUUUUUUACUGUUGUUUAUUUUUGUAAUCUUGGCUAUAUAAAGCCAAUACAAGCACUGUAAACACCCCUUUUUUUAUUACACACAGAUUCGAAUACAAAAAAAUUGGAGAGAAAUAAAAAAACUUGAAAGGUGAUUUUCGGUUUUUCCCAUUGACAAAUCAUCUUAUUCUGUUCUUUCUUUUUUCUUUUACGCCUUUUUUUGAUUGUUUAUUAAAAGAAACAAAUAAUAAAAAGAAAAGAGAGAACGUACCUGGUGGCCGACUUGCCUUCUACUCCGUCGCAAUCGAAGCCGAAUGGAGGUAAAAGGUGAAACGACGCACCAACGGAGCCUCGUUCACUCCAUCCGAAAUUGGAGAUGAAUGGGGAUUUUGGAAUUGUGGCGCAUGGGGGAGAAGAGACCAUUUUUUAGAGUUUCUUAGUUUUUUGAAAAAGAGAUUGAAAAUCUGUUGGUUUUAGGCUUAGUUUAGCCUUUAUUUACUGAAAGAAAUGAUGGCGUUUAGGUGUUUAUGGCCAUAACCCGAUGACCCGACCUGAGCGUGAUAAGACCCGCGCAUUUUGGUCUUGGAGGGGACAUUUGCACCAUUAGUCCCUCUGAUUUGUUUCGUAGUUUCAAUCUGGUCUUUCUUUAUUUUCUAAAUUGGUCCCAUGUGUUCGACUUGAUUAUGCUUUGGUCUCUGCUGAAGCGCAUCGUUUUGGAGUUGAGGAUAUUUUCCUCUUUAGCCCCCAUGUUAUUCGCGCGUGCCCUUUUUGGUCCUCAAUUCUGCUGUAUUUUCUUUCUUUUUUCUUUUUAUUUUGAAUUUAAUACAAUUUUGUCCAUACUUAUUUAAUUUAAUGUACUUGGUUUUUAUGCUGUUUACAUUUUUAUUUUUUUCUCUUUUUAUUUUUUUGAUAUAUUUAUUUUAAAAUUUAACUCUUUUUUGUUU
rnacentral:lncRNA from 1 species